UACAGAGGUCUCAAGCGUUGUUCGGAUUCAUUGGGCGUAAAGGGUGCGUAGGUGGCGGGGCAAGUCAGGUGUGAAAUCUCGAGGCUCAACCUCGAAACUGCACUUGAUACUGCCUUGCUCGAGUACUGGAGAGGAGAUUGGAAUUUACGGUGUAGCAGUGAAAUGCGUAGAUAUCGUAAGGAAGACCAGUGGCGAAGGCGAAUCUCUGGACAGUUACUGACACUGAGGCACGAAGGCCAGGGGAGCAAACGGG
rnacentral:rRNA from 1 species